AGAGUUUGAUUAUGGCUCAGGACAACGCUGGCGGCAUGCCUCACACAUGCAAGUCGAACGGGGUAUCUUGAUACCUAGUGGCGGACGGGUGAGUAACGCGUGGGCAACCUACCCUACAGACCGGGAUACCAUCGGGAAACUGAUGUUAAUACCGGAUACUAGCCUAGGGCAUCCUAGGCAAAGGAAAGAUUUAUCGCUGUAGGAUGGGCCUGCGUUCCAUUAGCUAGUUGGUAGGGUAACGGCCUACCAAGGCGACGAUGGAUAGCUGGUCUGAGAGGACGAUCAGCCACACUGGGACUGAGACACGGCCCAGACUCCUACGGGAGGCAGCAGUGGGGGAUAUUGCGCAAUGGGGGCAACCGACGCAGCAAUGCCGCGUGAAGGAGGUUCGUUGACUUCUGUUAAGAGGGAGAAAACCUCAAGAGGAAGCCCCGGCAACUACGUGCCAGCAGCCGCGGUAAUACGUAGGGGGCGAGCGUUGUCCGGAAUCACUGGGCGUAAAGGGCGUGUAGGUGGUUAAAUAAGUCAGGUGUUAAAAUGCGGGGCUCAACCCCGUAAUGCACUUGAAACUGUAUAACUUGAGGACAGGAGAGGAAAGUGGAAUUCCUAGUGUAGGUGAAAUGCGUAGAUAUUAGGAGGAACACCGGUGGCGAAGGCGACUUUCUGGCCUGCCCUGACACUGAGGCGCGAAAGCGUGGGGAGCAAACAGGAUUAGAUACCCUGGUAGUCCACGCCGUAAACGAUGGGUACUAGGUGUAGGUGGUUAGAGCCAUCUGUGCCGCAGUUAACGCAUUAAGUACCCCGCCUGGGGAGUACGAUGGCAACAUUGAAACUCAAAGGAAUUGACGGGGGCCCGCACAAGCAGCGGAGCAUGUGGUUUAAUUCGAAGCAACGCGAAGAACCUUACCAGGGCACAUCCUCUGAAGGCACUAGAGAUAGUGCUUUCGCAGAGGAAGGUGGUGCAUGGUUGUCGUCAGCUCGUGUCGUGAGAUGUUGGGUUAAGUCCCGCAACGAGCGCAACCCUUAUACUUAGUUGCUAACAGAAAGCUGAGCACUCUAAGUAGACUGCCGGCAAAAAGUCGGAGGAAGGUGGGGAUGACGUCAAAUCAUCAUGCCCCUUAUGUCCUGGGCUACACACGUGCUACAAUGGCCUGAACAGAGGGCAGCGAAGGAGUGAUCCGGAGCAAUCCCUAAAAACAGGUCUCAGUUCGGAUUGUAGGCUGCAACUCGCCUACAUGAAGUCGGAGUUGCUAGUAAUCGCGAAUCAGCACGUCGCGGUGAAUGCGUUCCCGGGCCUUGUACACACCCCCGUC
rnacentral:rRNA from 1 species